GGGUUAAUGUGUUAAUAAUCACCUAACCUAGAUCUUGAAUCUACACCCCCUAACCUUCUAAAUCAUCGACCCAUAACCCAUAACCCUUCUAAAGAUGGAAUGUGAGUUAUUCCCUUUGCUAUGCAUGUUAAAGUGAAGAAAUUCAACCAAGCACGAGUAAACGACAGAAGUAACUAUGACUAUCAUAAGGUAUCCAAAUGCCUCGUCAUCUAAUUAGUGACACACAUGAAUGGAUCAUUAACUAUAUUCCCCACUGUCCCUAGCUACUAUAUUCUAGAGAAACCACAUCCAAGGGAAUGGGCUUGGCAGAAUUAGUAGGGAAAGAAGACCCUCAUGUGGAGCUUGAAUCUAGUCCUAACCCAUUGAUGCAGGAGCAUCGU
rnacentral:ncRNA from 1 species